AGCCAACGCAACUGCGGUCUUUCUCCUCCCAGUGCCGCGCGUUGGCUGUUCCCCUCUGGAGGUUUUUUUGACCUUCAAACUUGCAGGGCCCAAGCUUCGCUUGUGGCCCUCUUUU
rnacentral:sRNA from 1 species